UUAACGAGACAAUCUUCUGAUUUUUGGUAUAUUGGUUUGGUAUAUCAAAAAGCUUUUGUUAACUUUUUGCCAGAAUGCGCUAAAGAUGAUCUGAGCCAAUUUUGGUGAAAAUUGGACAAACCAUCUGGGACGAGUUUCAGCUGUUUGUAGAGCAGGGUGUCCAGUGUCAGCUCUUCCCUCAUCCUCUCCCACACUCGCUCCGCUCCUCCUCAUCCAGCGCCGGAGCCAGACUGCAGCUCAGGCAUUUUAUGAUUUAACUGCAGGGAUAGAUGACCGUAAUGAAGACGGCUCCUCACCGUCUGCUCCUCAUGGGGUAACAUCAGAUGAUAAUCUGCUUCACAGCACAUGUGUCAGAUGGAAGGAAUGCUAAUCUGGAAGAGGUGCAGAGCUUGGACUUUUUGGCAGCCAGUUUCCACUCUGCACUUACUUUCCAUGUGGUGCCGCUCCAGAGGCUCCGGGCAGGAGAAGCCUGUUUGGGGAACAGAGGUGUUGACGGAUCCCAGAUCGCCCCAUUGGCCACGCCCCCCAUCUGAGGGUCACGGCUCUGCUGGACAACUGACCUGAACUUCUGUUCCAGUACCACAUCCAGAUCUGUAGUUCAUAUUAAAGUCUAGAAUGGAGGAUCGUGAUUUCUCAAUGAAGAUGUUAAAUGUGUGAGACCCAGGUUUGCUGAUCUUCACCUGUCAACAGGUUUUACACGGAGAGCUGUUUGUUUGCACUCUACAAGCUCUGAAUGCUAAAUUUAUCAGAUACUCAGUACUAGGUUUAAACUGUGGAACAGCAGUGAUUUUUAUAU